CGUCCUUUUUCCCGGCAGCCGCGCGUGGGUCGUCUUGUGUGUCUUGGGUUCUCUGCCUGCAGUGGUCCACGCCCAUCCUCCGCCAUUCCCGGUCUUAGCCUGGUUGCCACGGGCGCCGCACCUGCCAGGGCUGCCUCUAGAGGCGGCGGGAUGUUGAGCGCGGCACGGAGGAUCCAGGCCUCCUGGCCUAGUUGGGCCGAGAUCUGGAAGGCCACGUGGUUCUCAGGCGCAGUGGAAGAAACCGGACGCUGUGUGGGCCACGCCCUGCUCCCGCCGCGGCCCUCGCGGCCCUGUGCUCCGGUGUGACGGUUUCCAAAAUGUCCCAGCAGAUGAGUCCUGACAUCUCACAGGAUUUAGUUGUGCCAGAAGAUUCCAGGAUGACUGGAGUUGACCUUUCUGGUGAGUGAAGAGGACAUGACAGUGAUGGACACAAGCCUCAGGGCCUGGUUGCCCUGUUUUUUAACUGGCAGCGCCUGAUACUGAAGUAACUGCAAACACCAGCUUGUUGCUGGAGCCAUGCUUUCAGAAUAAGGUAACGUCGGGUACUGGAGACAGCCUGACCCUCCAGUUCCCUUUCCCAUCGGAUCUAAACCCUGGUCUCGGUGGUCGUAAGAGGAGGAAUAGUAGUACUGAAACUGUGCUCGUCGUGUGUGCUGUAGAGCAUGUGGGCUAGUUUCAGACAAGGCUGAAUUCUCUUGGAACUUGUUUUCUCUGCCCCUUACAAUGGGAUAAUCUUAGGCUUAAAGGGAAACUAUAUAUGAAACUGGCAGUUGGUACAGUAAUUGCUGGCUGAGAUUUUUGUAUUUGGGAGGGAUAUACUAAUAGUUUUCUUGCCUCCUGAUUGAUAUUUUUCUCCCCCUAAGACCUGUUGCCAGUAAAGCUGUCUUCAUCUGUGUGGAUCUACAGAGUUGGGAGAGAAACAAAAAGGCAAAUGAAGAGACGGGGCGCUUUCAGGUGGAAACAGCUGUUGUUUUUGGUGAUGUUGCUACCUGGCAUAUAAAUGACCAAUAAAAGAUUGACCAAUAAAAGGUUCUAUGUUUGUCA